GAACCUUGGAGCUUGCUCUAAGGGGAUCAGUGGCGAACGGGUGAGUAACACGUGAGUAACCUGCCCCGGACUCUGGAAUAAGCGCUGGAAACGGCGUCUAAUACCGGAUACGAGACGCAACCGCAUGGUUAGUGUCUGGAAAGUUUUUCGGUCUGGGAUGGACUCGCGGCCUAUCAGCUUGUUGGUGAGGUAAUGGCUCACCAAGGCGACGACGGGUAGCCGGCCUGAGAGGGCGACCGGCCACACUGGGACUGAGACACGGCCCAGACUCCUACGGGAGGCAGCAGUGGGGAAUAUUGCACAAUGGGCGAAAGCCUGAUGCAGCGACGCCGCGUGAGGGAUGACGGCCUUCGGGUUGUAAACCUCUUUCAGCAGGGAAGAAGCGAAAGUGACGGUACCUGCAGAAGAAGCACCGGCUAACUACGUGCCAGCAGCCGCGGUAAUACGUAGGGUGCGAGCGUUGUCCGGAAUUAUUGGGCGUAAAGAGCUUGUAGGCGGUUUGUCGCGUCUGCUGUGAAAAUCCGGGGCUCAACCCCGGACUUGCAGUGGGUACGGGCAGACUAGAGUGUGGUAGGGGAGACUGGAAUUCCUGGUGUAGCGGUGAAAUGCGCAGAUAUCAGGAGGAACACCGAUGGCGAAGGCAGGUCUCUGGGCCACUACUGACGCUGAGAAGCGAAAGCAUGGGGAGCGAACAGGAUUAGAUACCCUGGUAGUCCAUGCCGUAAACGU
rnacentral:rRNA from 1 species